rnacentral:rRNA from 1 species
AGGACACCACCAGGAGUGGAGCCUGCGGCUUAGUUUGACUCAACACGGGAAAUCUCACCAGGCCCGGACACCGGAAGGAUUGACAGAUUGAGAGCUCUUUCUUGAUUCGGUGGGUGGUGGUGCAUGGCCGUUCUUAGUUGGUGGAGCGAUUUGUCUGGUUAAUUCCGAUAACGAACGAGACUCUGGCCUACUAACUAGACGUUGGAUCCCUUUGUGGGUCCAUCGCAGCUUCUUAGAGGGGCGGGCGGCGUUUAGCCGCACGAGAUUGAGCAAUAACAGGUCUGUGAUGCCCUUAGAUGUUCUGGGCUGCACGCGCGCUACACUGAAGGAAUCAGCGUGUGUUCCCUAUCCGAAAGGAUUGGGAAACCCGUUGAACCUCCUUCGUGAUGGGGAUUGGGGAUUGCAAUUAUUCCCCAUGAACGAGGAAUUCCCAGUAGGCGCGAGUCAUAAGCUUGCGUCGAUUACGUCCCUGCCCUUUGUACACACCGCCCGUCGCUACUACCGAUCGAGUGAUUUAGU